UGUGUUGAGGAAGAUAAUGACGGUACUCAACAAGGAAGUGACGGCUAACUACGUGCCAGCAGCCGCGGUAAAACGUAGGUCACAAGCGUUGUCCGGAAUUACUGGGUGUAAAGGGAGCGCAGGCGGGAGAACAAGUUGGAAGUGAAAUCCAUGGGCUCAACCCAUGAACUGCUUUCAAAACUGUUUUUCUUGAGUAGUGCAGAGGUAGGCGGAAUUCCCGGUGUAGCGGUGGAAUGCGUAGAUAUCGGGAGGAACACCAGUGGCGAAGGCGGCCUACUGGGCACCAACUGACGCUGAGGCUCGAAAGUGUGGGUAGCAAACAGGAUUAGAUACCCUGGUAGUCCACACCGUAAACGAUGAUUACUAGGUGUUGGAGGAUUGACCCCUUCAGUGCCGCAGUUAACACAAUAAGUAAUCCACCUGGGGAGUACGACCGCAAGGUUGAAACUCAAAGGAAUUGACGGGGGCCCGCACAAGCAGUGGAGUAUGUGGUUUAAUUCGACGCAACGCGAAGAACCUUACCAAGUCUUGACAUCCCUUGACGAACAUAGAAAUAUGUUUUCUCUUCGGAGCAAGGAGACAGGUGGUGCAUGGUUGUCGUCAGCUCGUGUCGUGAGAUGUUGGGUUAAGUCCCGCAACGAGCGCAACCCUUAUGGUCAGUUACUACGCAAGAGGACUCUGGCCGGACUG
rnacentral:rRNA from 1 species